rnacentral:rRNA from 1 species
AUUGAACGCUGGCGGCAGGCCUAAAACAUGCAAGUCGAACGAGUUGCGGACGUGUGCGUAAUGUCUGGGAAACUGCCCGAUGGAGGGGGAUAACUACUGGCAACGGUAGCUAAUACCUCAUACCAUCGGAUUUGCCCAGAUGGGAUUAGCUAGUAGGUGGGGUAAGGGCUCACCUAGGCGACGAUCCCUAGCUGGUCUGAGAGGAUGACCAGCCACACUGGAACUGAGACACGGUCCAGACUCCUACGGGAGGCAGCAGUGGGGAAUAUUGCACAAUGGGCGAAAGCCUGAUCCAGCCAUGCCGCGUGUGUGAAGAAGGUCUUCGGAUUGUAAAGCACUUUAAGUUGGGAGGCGUUACCAACAGAAUAAGCACCGGCUAACUUCGUGCCAGCAGCCGCGGUAAUUC